rnacentral:rRNA from 1 species
GCAAGUCGAGCGGAAACGACACUAACAAUCCUUCGGGUGCGUUAAUGGGCGUCGAGCGGCGGACGGGUGAGUAAUGCCUAGGAAAUUGCCUUGAUGUGGGGAUAACCAUUGGAAAAGAUGGCUAAUACCGCAUAAUGCCUACGGGCCAAAGAGGGGGAUCUUCGGACCUCUCGCGUCAAGAUAUGCCCAAGUGUGAUUAGCUAGUUGGUGAGGUAAUGGCUCACCAAGGCGACGAUCCCUAGCUGGUCUGAGAGGAUGAUC